UACGGAGGGGGCUAGCGUUGUUCGGGAUUACUGGGCGUAAAGGGCGCGUCGGCGGCGUCGUAAGUCAGGCGUGAAAGGCCCGGGCUCAACCCGGGAACUGCGCUUGAUACUGCGGCGCUCGAGUCCGGGAGAGGAUGGCGGAAUUCCCAGUGUAGAGGUGAAAUUCGUAGAUAUUGGGAAGAACACCGGUGGCGAAGGCGGCCAUCUGGACCGGUACUGACGCUGAGGUGCGAAAGCGUGGGGAUCAAAUAGG
rnacentral:rRNA from 1 species